GACGAACGCUGGCGGCGUGCUUAACACAUGCAAGUCGAGCGGUAAGGCCCUUUCGGGGGUACACGAGCGGCGAACGGGUGAGUAACACGUGGGUGACCUGCCCUCAGCUCUGGGAUAAGCCUGGGAAACCGGGUCUAAUACUGGAUAUGACUCCAUGACGCAUGUUGUGGGGUGGAAAGCCUUGUGCGGCUGAGGAUGGGCCCGCGGCCUAUCAGCUUGUUGGUGGGGUGANGGCCUACCAAGGCGACGACGGGUAGCCGGCCUGAGAGGGCGACCGGCCACACUGGGACUGAGACACGGCCCAGACUCCUACGGGAGGCAGCAGUGGGGAAUCUUGCGCAAUGGGCGAAAGCCUGACGCAGCGACGCCGCGUGAGGAUGACGGCC
rnacentral:rRNA from 1 species